GUGAAUCAUCAAAUUUUUGAACGCAAAUUGCACUUUCUGGUAUUCCGGAAAGUAUGCCUGUUUGAGGGUCAGUUAAAUAAAAAUCGGUGGUAUGGCUAUUAAGGGUGAUGCAUCGGAAUGGAGUCGUCUGGAACUGGGGUUUUAAGUGACUUAAAAUGAGGUACGAUUUCUGAACGUAUUUAAAUUAUUUACGUACGUGCAUGAGAUCACAUAUUAGGUGCGGUCAUCCACAUGAUUUCGCGCCUAUAAUUUGGCAUUAUUUGACCUCAAAUCAGGUAAGAAUACCCGAGGAACUUAA
rnacentral:misc_RNA from 1 species